rnacentral:rRNA from 1 species
CCUGCAUGAAGUCGGAAUUGCUAGUAAUCGCGGAUCAGCAUGCCGCGGUGAAUACGUUCUCGGGCCUUGUACACACCGCCCGUCACACCAUGGGAGUCGGUAACACCCGAAGUCUGUAGCCUGACGCAAGAGGGCGCAGCCGAAGGUGGGAUUGAUGACUGGGGUGAAGUCGUAACAAGGUAGC